AGGCACGUCGUCUUGUAGGUCGUCUGAGAAGAUGCAGCUAAUAGACACAGAUUUGGUGAUUUGUGAGAGCAAGGGUUUCUUCUAGUUUUCUUACUGCUACUGCAUGGGAUUUUGAAGUUUGUUUGUAUUUGUUUAGAUUCAGUGGCUCAACUUUUUCCUUCAGUGGGGACAGAAGAGCUCCAUGUCGCACUGUGUGUGUCUGUCUAGAUGCAAAAGUUGGAGGGCUUCUGAUUGGAAACCUUCCAAGGUGACCACAAGCGGAUGAGUUCAAAUGACCCAGCACUGUGCAGAAGGAAGCAACUGAGAAAGACUCACAUAACAUAGCUCAUAAACUCUUUUCUUGGUACCAGCAUUACCAUAAAAUGACAAAAUCCAGCAGGAACUAUGAAAAGUCAACGUCCCAUUUAAAACUACCUCAGGACUUUGGAAGACACUCAGGUUUAUCUCUGGAGGACAAAUAAUCAGAACAUUCAGGUGAAAACUCUGUGGUGAUGGGACUGUAUGCACUACAACAAUACAGAACAACACAGGUGAAUUACACAAGCAUCAUGAUGAAGAGAAGUAUCGAAUCAGAAGAAUACUGAAUACACAGCCCUAUCUGAAUAACUCUGAAAGCAGGAAAAACAAAUCCAUGGUGUAAGAAGUCACAGAAAUUUCUGUCCUUGUCAAGUGGAUAUCAUAGGGACCAGAAGGCACAUACACAAGUGCCUUUUAGAGUGAUGAUGACACUCCAUGUCUUGGUUUGGGUAUUGGUUACUAGCAUGUGCUCAUUGUAUAAUUUUUCUCCCAGCUUAAUAUGGCUUCUCUUGGACUCCUGGUCUUAAAACUGAAAAAAUGGUUAUGAGUGGAUACCAAGUUUCAUAGAAUGUUUGAAACUUAAAUAAAAUAAUUUAAAUUUUAGAUUAGGAUAUUUGUGGUUUAUUGCCAAAAGGACUACUCUGUAGGAAGUGGAAGUCUAGGGAUACUAUGGUGAUUAUUACCUCCAAACUUUAAAGACAGAGUCAUGGAUGACCAGGUAUCUAACAUAAUGUGGUGAGCUAAUUCAAAAGCAGAUCUCUGACACUUCAAGCCAUCAGGAAGCUCCUG